rnacentral:rRNA from 1 species
CUACGUGCCAGCAGCCGCGGUAAUACGGAAGGUCCGGGCGUUAUCCGGAUUUAUUGGGUUUAAAGGGAGCGUAGGCUGGAGAUUAAGUGUGUUGUGAAAUGUAGACGCUCAACGUCUGACUUGCAGCGCAUACUGGUUUCCUUGAGUACGCACAACGUUGGCGGAAUUCGUCGUGUAGCGGUGAAAUGCUUAGAUAUGACGAAGAACUCCGAUUGCGAAGGCAGCUGACGGGAGCGCAACUGACGCUGAAGCUCGAAGGUGCGGGUAUCGAACAGGAUUAGAUACCCUGGUAGUCCGCACAGUAAACGAUGGAUGCCCGCUGUUGGUACGUGGUAUCAGCGGYUAAGCGAAAGCAUUAAGCAUCCACCUGGGGAGUACGCCGGCAACGGUGAAACUCAAAGGAAUUGACGGGGGCCCGCACAAGCGGAGGAACAUGUGGUUUAAUUCGAUGAUACGCGAGGAACCUUACCCGGGAU